AAAAAAAAAGCAUGGAAGAUUCAUAGUUCCUGAUAGAAAUCACCCCCUUUGUGACCAUUGCCUAAUUUUAUCUGUCCACCACACUUUGCUACAACUUUUCCUGCCUACCACUAUAGUUUCUUGCAACUAUUCUGACCUUGCAUGUUGCUUUUUCACACUCAAGUUAAAUACCCAAGAAUGUUAAGAAAACACGCAAAGGGUUGAGAAUUUGUAAAGAAUUAUUGUGAAGCUAAGCUUCAAGAUAAUUAUUCCUACUUCACAACACUAUUUAUUAUCAGAAAAAUUUAAAAUUUCCCCUUUGGAAAGCUAUCUACAUGCACCUAGCAAUCUAGAUUUGAUUACUUGUUACCGCCCAUAUAAUAAACAGUAGUCAUUGCAACUAUAUAACAAACUUUCAUCCUAAAGAUUUAGAAAGAUAACUUUAGGUUUGCAAUCACAAAGACUAUCUAAUGUAGGAAAUCCUAGAGAUUCUACUACUACUUAUUUUAGGAAAAAAAUAAAUAGUACUUUAUUUUAUUUAGAAGUUACAAGUUUUAUUUGCUUUGUAAUUUGUGAUUCCUAAUUAGAAUUG
rnacentral:misc_RNA from 1 species